rnacentral:rRNA from 1 species
UACAGAGGAGCCAAGCGUUGUCCGGAUUGACUGGGCGUAAAGCGCACGCAGGCGGCAUCGCGCGUGGGGUGUGAAGUCUGGCCGCUUAACGGCCAGGCGCCAUCCCAUACGGCGAGGCUGGAGCGAUGCAGAGGUCGGUGGAAUUGCCGGUGUAGCGGUGAAAUGCGCAGAGAUCGGGAGGAACACCCGUAGCGAAGGCGGCACUCUGGGCCGGUACUGACGCUGAGGAGCGAAAGCGUGGGGAGCAAACAGG